AUGUUAACCUCAGGUUUUUGUCGUGCCUUGGACUGCAAAAAGAUCCAACCAGUCCAUCCUCCAGAAAAUAAUGCUCGACUACUCACUGGAGGGAAGGAUAUUAGAGGCAAAGAUGAAGUACUUUGGCCACAUAAUGAGAAGACAGGAAAGCUUGGAGAAGGCAAUGAUGCUGGGGAAGGAAAUAAAAGGAAAAAAGGAAGAGGAGUCAACCAAGGGCAAGAUGGAUGGAUGGUAUCCUUGAAGUGACUGGCUUGACCUUGACGGAGCUGGGGGAGGCGACCGCAAACAGGGAGCUCUGGCGUGGACUGGUCUAUGAGCUCACGAAGAGUUAAAAGUGACUGAACAAAUAAACAACAAACAACACUUUGCCAAUUUCUGUGGUGUCAUGUAUUAUCUAUGUGACAUUUUUAUCCAAUUUUCUUUUAAAUCCAUUGCAUAUGUGUAUUUUUUGUUCCAAAUUACUUCCCAUUUUUCCCUUCCAAUAGUUCUUCCUAUAUUUUCUGUCCAUCUUCUUAUAUAAACCUUCCCUCCUUCCGACUCUGUUUCUACUCUAACAGUUUCAUAUAUAUUUUGGUUAUUAUUUUUCUUUCUGUUUGCAUAAUUUCAUCCCAGAAUGAUUCAUUCUCUAAAAAGCCUAUUUUUAAAAAUCUUUUUUGUAAUAUUUCUUCAUUUGCCAGUAUUGAUACCAGGAGAUAUUUUUGUUGAGACACCUCAUUUCCUGUUGUGUUUUCAUUAUAAACUCUCCUUCUUGCUUUACCAAUAAUUGCUUAUACUUAGGCAAACUGUUCCAUCCUAAUAUUCUCCUUUGGGUGGCUUCUAAAGGUUGGUGUUUUGUCAUAAAUUUUCUUUUAAUAUUUUUCCCAAAUUUAAAAUAUGGUAGAUCUCACAAAAUCAUUUUUCUCCCUUUUUGUCCCCCCAUACCUGUCCUCAAUUCUAUCCCUUCACAGAUAUAGGAAAGGAGAUACGUGGUUAAUCAGUACAACGUGCAAAAACGACUUUGGGAUUGUUGUUGACAAUAACUUGUGAACCAGCAAUGUGAUGCUUCAGCAGAGAAGGCAAGUGCUAUUAGCCUGCACUGAUAGAAGCACAGUUUCCAAGUCAAGGGAAGUAAUAUUCUCACUAUAUUGCGUGCUGAUCUGGCUUCAUCUGGAGUGCUGUGUUCAGUUCUGGGUGCCUCGUUAUAAGAAGGACAUAGAGUCAGCAUGGCAUAGUGGUUUGAAUGUUGAACUAUAACUGGAGAACAGGAUUCAAAUCUCCACUCAACCAUGGGUUUGUUCACAAGGGUUGCCACAGGGAAGAGGAGCAGGUUUAAUAGUUGGAUGUUACAAAAGGCUAGGUUUCAAUUGAACCUUAGAAGGAAUUUCUUGACAGUGAAAGCAGUUUAGAAAUGGAACCAUUUGCCAAGAGCAGCUUCAAAAAGAAGUUGGACAUCUACUGCCAAGAGAUGAUUUAGUUGGAGAAGCUGCACUGAGCACAAUGUUGUGCCUGAUGGCCCUUGAGACCCGUACUAACUAUCUAUGAGCCCCUUCCAAAUAUCACUGUGGCUUGAGAAUUUGGGAAAUUUACUUUUUAAUUACAGUUCCCAGAUUUC
ensembl:lncRNA